rnacentral:misc_RNA from 1 species
GCUGCUUGUCUAAGCUCAUCUAAUCUUGCCAAGCGCUUCUGAACUUUCGCAAGGAUGCUCAACCUCUUCUUUUCAGCAGCAAGAAGCUUGGCUUCUAGUUGCUUUCUAAGCUCCCCAUCCUGCGAAAAUGAGCAUGUCGACAAUCUCAAUUUCGGCCGUGCCUUGCUUGACAAUAACUCAUAAAAUUGCUGACGACGUAAUUCGGCGUCCUUAAGCUUG